rnacentral:rRNA from 1 species
UGGGGAAUUUUGGACAAUGGGCGAAAGCCUGAUCCAGCAAUGCCGCGUGUGUGAAGAAGGCCUUCGGGUUGUAAAGCACUUUUGUCCGGAAAGAAAUCCUUGGCUCUAAUACAGUCGGGGGAUGACGGUACCGGAAGAAUAAGCACCGGCUAACUACGUGCCAGCAGCCGCGGUAAUACGUAGGGUGCAAGCGUUAAUCGGAAUUACUGGGCGUAAAGCGUGCGCAGGCGGUUUGCUAAGACCGAUGUGAAAUCCCCGGGCUCAACCUGGGAACUGCAUUGGUGACUGGGCAGGCUAGAGUAUGGCAGAGGGGGGUAGAAUUCCACGUGUAGCAGUGAAAUGCGUAGAGAUGUGGAGGAAUACCGAUGGCGAAGGCAGCCCCCUGGGCCAAUACUGACGCUCAUGCACGAAAGCGUGGGGAGCAAACAGGAUUAGAUACCCUGGUAGUCCACGCCCUAAACGAUGUCAACUAGUUGUUGGGGAUUCAUUUCCUUAGUAACGUAGCUAACGCGUGAAGUUGACCGCCUGGGGAGUACGGUCGCAAGAUUAAAACUCAAAGGAAUUGACGGGG